GAUGAACGCUAGCGGCAGGCCUAAUACAUGCAGGUCGGACGGGAUUCAGGAGCUUGCUUCUGAUGAGAGUGGCGCACGGGUGCGUAACACGUAUGUAACCUACCUUUAUCAGGGGGAUAGCCUCUCGAAAGAGAGAUUAAGCCCGCAUAAAAUCACAGCACAGCAUUGUGUAAUGAUCAAAUAUUUAUAGGAUAAAGAUGGGCAUGCGGAACAUUAGCUAGAUGGCGGGGUAACGGCCCACCAUGGCGACGAUGUUUAGGGGAUCUGAGAGGAUGGCCCCCCACACUGGUACUGAGACACGGACCAGACUCCUACGGGAGGCAGCAGUAAGGAAUAUUGGUCAAUGGGCGGAAGCCUGAACCAGCCAUGCCGCGUGCAGGAAGACGGCCCUACGGGUUGUAAACUGCUUUUAUACGGGAAUAAACCCAGAUACGUGUAUCUGGCUGAAUGUACUGUAAGAAUAAGGAUCGGCUAACCCCGUG
rnacentral:rRNA from 1 species